rnacentral:rRNA from 1 species
AUCGAACGCUGGCGGCAGGCUUAACACAUGCAAGUCGAGCGGGGUGAUGGUGCUUGCACUAUCACUUAGAGGCGGACGGGUGAGUAAUGCUUAGGAAUCUGCCUAUUAGUGGGGGACAACAUCUCGAAAGGGAUGCUAAUACCGCAUACGUCCUACGGGAGAAAGCAGGGGGUCACUUGUGACCUUGCGCUACUAGAUGAGCCUAUGUCGGAUGAGCAAGUUGGUGGGGUAAAGGCCUAACAAGGCGCCGAUCUGUAGCGGCUCUGAGGGGAUGAUCCGCCACACUGGGACUGAUACACGGCCCAGACUCCUACGUGAGGCAGCAGUGGGGAAUAUUGGAAAAUGGGGGGAACCCUGAUCCAGCCAUGCCGCGUGUGUGAAGAAGGCCUUAUGGUUGUAAAGCACUUUAAGCGAGGAGGAGGCUCUUUUGGUUAAUACCCAAGAUGAGUGGACGUUACUCGCAGAAUAAGCACCGGCUAACUCUGUGCCAGCAGCCGCGGUAA